GAGUGGGGAGACUUAAUGGAGGAGAAUUUCCUCUUGUAAAUAUACGAUCACGGGAGAGCUUGCUUUUCGUUUUCACUGCUGAAUCUCAUUUCGGUCAGGCAGGAAACAGCUCAGCUCCCCGGUGCCAGCGGCUUUAUCAGUCAGCGCUUCAGCCAUCAAUAUUCCAGCUCUUCAAAUUGGAUGAAGGCGAGGCGGCUAGCGUUCAAGCUCGUGCCACACGGGGAACAAGAUCCAGGCUGAACGAGGCAAGCAGAGGGACCGUGCUGCAGCGAGAAGGGCUUUCUUCAGUCGUUGCUCACUGACCUACACCAGCUGCUCGAACAAAAAGGCAGCGUGACCUUCAGGCUCACUGGAGAGCACACUGAGGGCUGUGAGUGCUCAGGCUCCACACGUUAAGGGUGCCUAAAGCACAGCAGCUUUGAGAGAGCAAAGAGGGUGAGUAGCAGAUUUUUUUCUCCCCCUCCGUCAGACUUCGUGAGCUGCCUUCUGCUAAAGAAAAGCAUUUAAUUUUUUUGUGAAC